rnacentral:tRNA from 1 species
AUCUUCUUAGUAUAAAUAGUACUAUUGACUUCCAAUCAGUGAGACCCGAACUAAUAACGGGAGAAGAUA